rnacentral:lncRNA from 1 species
ACGCAUCAAAAAAUUUUCACUAACAAGAUGAUAAUUUAUUUGUUUAAGUCGCGAGUUCUUUAGCAAUUCAUUAGCUAGUCAAUAAGUCAUCAAAUAUCUUAUAGUUGGACGUAAUAUUUAUUAUUGAUAUAGCUCUUUCACUGUUUUGGUGAAAAAGAUUAUAAUGCAGAAUAAUUUUGAUUUUGUCACUUUCAGUUCCCUAUUUUUUAUUCUCCACCCUUUAAACAUUUUAAAAAGUGGACGGACAAUUUCUUUUUAAUGAUGAAACUCAAAAAUCUUAAAAUUUUAUUAAAUGCGCAUUUAUCAAUCCAACUAACUAUCAAACAGCCGAAUUACCAAGUUGUGUGAUAUGCACUGUAGAUAAAUAUAUAUUUGAGGUGUAAGAUUUCAUACCUCUAUCACCUAUUGGGCAUCAGCUUUUUUACAUUUUCAGGAAAAUGGUGCUGCAUUUUUUCAAUGCAAUUACUUCUAUUUAUUAUCAUUACGUCAGUGAUUGCUAUUAUUAUUCUAACUAAACAGAAGCACUGUAAGCUUGCGCAGGUGGUCGGAUAGAAGCGUUUCGGAGAAGAGCAGCAUGCUGCUGUACGUGCGGGCAUGCUUGGAUCAUGGGAGGAGCAGUGUAUGGUCCUUCUAAUAAA